rnacentral:rRNA from 1 species
CCCUUAGAUGUUCUGGGCCGCACGCGUGCUACACUGAGUGGAUCAGCGGGUCAGGUUGCGCGAAAGCGUUUCCUAAUCUUAAAAUCCGCUCGUGAUGGGGAUUGACGGUUGCAAUUUUCUGUCAUGAACGAGGAAUACCUUGUAAGCGCGGGUCAUCAUCCCGCGCUGAAUACGUCCCUGCCCUUUGUACACACCGCCCGUCGCUCCUACCGAUUGAGUGGUCCGGUGAGGCUUUGGGAUCUGAGCGGAAAGAGCGUUUCGCUGUUUCUGCUCGGAAAACUCAGUCGAACCUUAUCAUUUAGAGGAAGGAGAAGUCGUAACA